rnacentral:rRNA from 1 species
AUACGUAGGUGACAAGCGUUAUCCGGAUUUACUGGGCGUAAAGGGCGCGUAGGCGGCCCGGUAAGUCUGGAGUGAAAGUCCUGCUUUCAAGGUGGGAAUUGCUUUGGAUACUGCCGCGCUUGAGUGCAGGAGAGGUUAUCGGAAUUCCCGGUGUAGCGGUGAAAUGCGUAGAGAUUGGGAGGAACACCAGUGGCGAAGGCGACUUACUGGACUGUAACUGACGCUGAGGCGCGAAAGUGUGGGGAGCAAACAGGAUUAGAUACCCUGGUAGUCCACACUGUAAACGAUGAAUGCUAGGUGUAGGGGGUAUCGACCCCUUCUGUGCCGCAGUCAACACAAUAAGCAUUCCGCCUGGGGAGUACGGCCGCAAGGUUGAAACUCAAAGGAAUUGACGGG